UAUAGAAUUCCAGGAAAAGGAAUUCAAGAUUUGCGGGAAGCCUGGUGGAAAGGGACCCGGCGAAGAGUGGGCAAUGCAGAGGAGAUGCGUGCCGGCCGAGUCUCUAAGACAGCAGUGAGCCUGGGCCCGCGGCGAUCCCCCAUCCCUCU